rnacentral:rRNA from 1 species
GAUGAACGCUGGCGGCGUGCCUAAUACACGCAAGUCGAGCGAACGGACGAGAAGCUUGCUUCUCUGAUGUUAGCGGCGGACGGGUGAGUAACACGUGGAUAACCUACCUAUAAGACUGGGAUAACUUCGGGAAACCGGAGCUAAUACCGGAUAAUAUUUUGAACCGCAUGGUUCAAAAGUGAAAGACGGUCUUGCUGUCACUUAUAGCUGGAUCCGCGCUGCAUUAGCUAGUUGGUAAGGUAACGGCUUACCAAGGCAACGAUGCAUAGCCGACCUGAGAGGGUGAUCGGCCACACUGGAACUGAGACACGGUCCAGACUCCUACGGGAGGCAGCAGUAGGGAAUCUUCCGCAAUGGGCGAAAGCCUGACGGAGCAACGCCGCGUGAGUGAUGAAGGUCUUCGGAUCGUAAAACUCUGUUAUUAGGGAAGAACAUAUGUGUAAGUAACUGUGCACAUCUUGACGGUACCUAAUCAGAAAGCCACGGCUAACUACGUG